GCAUAUCAAUAAGCGGAGGAAAAGAAACCCAACAGGGAUUACCUCAGUAACGGCGAGUGAAGCGGUAACAGCUCAAAUUUGAAAUCUGGCUCUUUUAGGGUCCGAGUUGUAAUUUGUAGAAGAUGCUUUGGGUGUGGCUCCGGUCUAAGUUCCUUGGAACAGGACGUCAUAGAGGGUGAGAAUCCCGUAUGUGACUGGUAGCUUUCGCCCGUGUAAAGCUCUUUCGACGAGUCGAGUUGUUUGGGAAUGCAGCUCAAAAUGGGUGGUAAAUUUCAUCUAAAGCUAAAUAUUGGCCAGAGACCGAUAGCGCACAAGUAGAGUGAUCGAAAGAUGAAAAGCACUUUGGAAAGAGAGUUAAACAGUACGUGAAAUUGUUGAAAGGGAAGCGCUUGCAACCAGACUCGCAGGCCGUCGAUCAUCUCAGGUUCUCCUGGGUGCACUCGGCGGUCUUCGGGCCAGCAUCGGUUUGGGUGGUGGGAUAAAGGCCUUGGGAAUGUAGCUUCUUUCGGGGAGUGUUAUAGCCCUCGGUGCAAUGCCGCCUACCCGGACCGAGGACCGCGCUUCGGCUAGGAUGCUGGCGUAAUGGUUGUAAGCGACCCGUCUUGAAACACGGACCAAGGAGUCUAACAUCUAUGCGAGUAUUUGGGUGUCAAACCCAUAUGCGUAAUGAAAGUGAACGGAGGUGAGAACCCUUAAGGGUGCAUCAUCGACCGAUCCUGAUGUCUUCGGAUGGAUUUGAGUAAGAGCAUAGCUGUUGGGACCCGAAAGAUGGUGAACUAUGCCUAAAUAGGGUGAAGCCAGAGGAAACUCUGGUGGAGGCUCGCAGCGGUUCUGACGUGCAAAUCGAUCGUCAAAUUUGGGUAUAGGGGCGAAAGACUAAUCGAACCAUCUAGUAGCUGGUUCCUGCG
rnacentral:rRNA from 1 species